ensembl:lncRNA
ACUUAAGGGUUGACCCUUGCUAGGAAGGGGUCUCUGAUUGGAGAUCUUUUCUCUGGGGAAGUUUCUUCUGCAAGCCUAGAUCCUCAGAGACUGCAUUCAGGAACAUCUGCAAGUUGGUCCAAAAGGUAUAUGGAAGCCCCAGGGAGAAGACAACUGUACCAUACCUCACAACAAAGUCAACAGGUACUGAUGAAAGAAGUGUGACGUCCAAGAACCACCUUCGGUAUUGCCCAAAUUCUUUCAUAACAGGCCAUCUUACUGCAGGAUGCUAUACUGCCAUGCCUUACCAAAACAAAGUUUGCCAGGACUAGAAGAGACCUGCCAGAUGAUAAAUGUUAUGAAGAAUAUGGUGACAUUUAGAAGAGAGAUCUGAGGAAAGUUAUCUCUCUGUCACUUUUUUCAGAGGCACUUUACAAGGUCUGCCAAUUUAAGAUCCGUGUAAUACCAGCCUGCUGGAAAUAACUGCUAAGGUUUAUGAUUUAUUAUUGCUUAUUGUAACUUCAUAACUAAACAUUCUUUCCCCCUCUCCUUUCCUCUCUUCCUGCUGUCCCUAAAGGUGGCAAUAAAGCCACUGUUAUACCUCAAACACAACAAAACAGACAUUCUCCUCUUUUCACAUAUGUCUAAUCAGUUGGGAUGGAGGACCAAAUCCAGAUAAAAGACAAUAGCCUGACUGACACCUUCAGGUAUACUCUUACCUUUGAAAGCAAACUCCUUUUCCAGUUAUCCUUACAUAGAGAUUUUGAUAAAAGACAUCCCAAAGCUGUUAGCUUGUUACCAUUCACAGUUUUUUUUUUUUUUUUCUAAUACUUGAAAAUUCCCACACAUCUCCAUAGUCCCCUCUUUUAAGACCAACCCAAUGGAAAAAAACAGCUUACAAAAUCUGUCCUAAGGCACCAGGAAUGUGUUCUUUGUCAUGAACAUCUGUCUGCUUGGGAAAUAUUAAUUGUAACUGAGGCUGCAUUUUCCUUUAUGCAUAGAUACAUUCACUUCUUUAAGAAAUUUCCUCAGUAGGUCUUGAGCAGCAGGAUAGCAGCAGGAGUACUUCCCAGCUCUCUGUUAACUAGCUAAUUCAGUCUCCUAGGUUUUUUUGUUCAGAUUCUAUUUCAGCCUUCUCCACCAGUCAUUAAGGAACUGCUUUUAAGGAAGAUCUAAAUCUAACUCUUCUUGUAAGCCAAAUUUUAACAUAGUUGAUCUCCACCUUUACCCCACAUAUUAAUUAACAAAUGUCAAAGAGCUUCAUAGUCACAAACUUCACAUAAUACAAGGCCAGAAAAUGACAUGAUUAGAAAUGCAAUUAUCUGAUCAUAUGUUUUUCCUUAAGUUGUUGGAGAAUGAAGUGGUAAUGGAGAUAACUUUUAUGCUUCUUGGUCACAUCAUUAUAGUAUCUCUGUGUUAUCUUUUUUUCUUUAUUUCUUACCCAAUUUUUCUUCUGGUUUGUACAAGGAAUUAUAAAUAUUUGGAAGAAGUAUGGAGCAGCUGGUUCAUAGAGCAGAGUGUUACCCUGUGUGGUCCCUUCCUUCUUUAAAAAUAUCAUCUCUGCAGCUAGUUAUUAAUUAGAUCGAGGAACAAAGUAGGAUUAUCCUACAAACCUUGACAUGGAGUCAUAGAUGAGGAUUAUUGAACAAUGCUGCAAACUGAAGAAAGGCUAAAAUAUUCAAAUAAAGAAGAGAUGAUGAAGUCU